rnacentral:rRNA from 1 species
UUAAAUCAGUUAUCGUUUAUUUGAUAGUACCUUACUACUUGGAUAACCGUGGUAAUUCUAGAGCUAAUACAUGCUAAAAACCCCGACUUCGGGAGGGGUGUAUUUAUUAGAUAAAAAACCAAUGCCCUUCGGGGCUCCUUGGUGAUUCAUAAUAACUUCUCAGAUCGCAUGGCCUUGCGCCGGCGACGGUUCAUUCAAAUUUCUGCCCUAUCAACUUUCGAUGGUAAGGUAUUGGCUUACCAUGGUUUCAACGGGUAACGGGGAAUUAGGGUUCGAUUCCGGAGAGGGAGCCUGAGAAACGGCUACCACAUCCAAGGAAGGCAGCAGGCGCGCAAAUUACCCAAUCCCGACACGGGGAGGUAGUGACAAUAAAUACUGAUACAGGGCUCUUUAGGGUCUUGUAAUUGGAAUGAGUACAAUUUAAACCUCUUAACGAGGAACAAUUGGAGGGCAAGUCUGGUGCCAGCAGCCGCGGUAAUUCCAGCUCCAAUAGCGUAUAUUAAAGUUGUUGCAGUUAAAAAGCUCGUAGUUGAACCUUUGGCCUGGCUGGCGGGUCCGCCUCACCGCGUGCACUCGUCCGGCCGGGCCUUUUCUUCUGGAGAACCGCAUGCCCUUCACUGGGUGUGUUGGGGACCAGGACUUUUACUUUGAAAAAAUUAGAGUGUUCAAAGCAGGCCUUUGCUCGAAUACGUUAGCAUGGAAUAAUAGAAUAGGACGUGCGGUCCUAUUUUGUUGGUUUCUAGGACCGCCGUAAUGAUUAAUAGGGACAGUCGGGGGCAUCAGUAUUCAAUUGUCAGAGGUGAAAUUCUUGGAUUUAUUGAAGACUAACUACUGCGAAAGCAUUUGCCAAGGAUGUUUUCAUUAAUCAGUGAACGAAAGUUAGGGGAUCGAAGACGAUCAGAUACCGUCGUAGUCUUAACCAUAAACUAUGCCGACUAGGGAUCGGGCGGUGUUAUUAUUUUGACUCGCUCGGCACCUUACGAGAAAUCAAAGUGUUUGGGUUCUGGGGGGAGUAUGGUC